GAUGAACGCUGGCGGCGUGCCUAAUACAUGCAAGUCGAGCGAGCGGACGAGAAGCUUGCUUCUCUGAUGUUAGCGGCGGACGGGUGAGUAACACGUGGAUAACCUACCUAUAAGACUGGGAUAACUUCGGGAAACCGGAGCUAAUACCGGAUAAUAUUUUGAACCGCGUGGUUCAAAAGUGAAAGACGGUCUUGCUGUCACUUAUAGAUGGAUCCGCGCUGCAUUAGCUAGUUGGUAAGGUAACGGCUUACCAAGGCAACGAUGCAUAGCCGACCUGAGAGGGUGAUCGGCCACACUGGAACUGAGACACGGUCCAGACUCCUACGGGAGGCAGCAGUAGGGAAUCUUCCGCAAUGGGCGAAAGCCUGACGGAGCAACACCGCGUGAGUGAUGAAGGUCUUCGGAUCGUAAAACUCUGUUAUUAGGGAAGAACAUAUGUGUAAGUAACUGUGCACAUCUUGACGGUACCUAAUCAGAAAGCCACGGCUAACUACGUGCCAGCAGCCGCGGUAAUACGUAGGUGGCAAGCGUUAUCCGGAAUUAUUGGGCGUAAAGCGCGCGUAGGCGGUUUUUUAAGUCUGAUGUGAAAGCCCACGGCUCAACCGUGGAGGGUCAUUGGAAACUGGAAAACUUGAGUGCAGAAGAGGAAAGUGGAAUUCCAUGUGUAGCGGUGAAAUGCGCAGAGAUAUGGAGGAACACCAGUGGCGAAGGCGACUUUCUGGUCUGUAACUGACGCUGAUGUGCGAAAGCGUGGGGAUCAAACAGGAUUAGAUACCCUGGUAGUCCACGCCGUAAACGAUGAGUGCUAAGUGUUAGGGGGUUUCCGCCCCUUAGUGCUGCAGCUAACGCAUUAAGCACUCCGCCUGGGGAGUACGACCGCAAGGUUGAAACUCAAAGGAAUUGACGGGGACCCGCACAAGCGGUGGAGCAUGUGGUUUAAUUCGAAGCAACGCGAAGAACCUUACCAAAUCUUGACAUCCUUUGACAACUCUAGAGAUAGAGCCUUCCCCUUCGGGGGACAAAGUGACAGGUGGUGCAUGGUUGUCGUCAGCUCGUGUCGUGAGAUGUUGGGUUAAGUCCCGCAACGAGCGCAACCCUUAAGCUUAGUUGCCAUCAUUAAGUUGGGCACUCUAAGUUGACUGCCGGUGACAAACCGGAGGAAGGUGGGGAUGACGUCAAAUCAUCAUGCCCCUUAUGAUUUGGGCUACACACGUGCUACAAUGGACAAUACAAAGGGCAGCGAAACCGCGAGGUCAAGCAAAUCCCAUAAAGUUGUUCUCAGUUCGGAUUGUAGUCUGCAACUCGACUACAUGAAGCUGGAAUCGCUAGUAAUCGUAGAUCAGCAUGCUACGGUGAAUACGUUCCCGGGUCU
rnacentral:rRNA from 1 species